UCAAUUUAUAUUCUAUGAGAAGUUGUCGUUUUCGUAAAUUUACGUCGAACGCUUCAAUGUCCUAAUUUGUGAGAAUUUGUAUCCGUUGCAGACGGUGGCCCGUUGUCUCGCUGUGGCUCUGAUAAAUUUCGAAUCGAUUACGUUUCGAAGACCUUCGGAGGCCGUGGUGAAAUUAAUAUUUUCCCACUGUGGAGCGUAUACAGCCAUUCGUGAUAUCUUGGCGUCGCGCCAAUGUAAACUUCCAGCCAGACGAUAAUUCCAGGUUAAUUGAAGAGCUUAGAGCUCGGAUUAUGUUUGCCAUAAGCGCGAACGUUGUGGCCUUCCCGUCGCUCUUAAUUCUCGAAGACGCCAGGGAAGUUUCCGCUGCGAGACGCGACGUCAAUCCAAUAUGGCCGUUUGAGACGCGGCUCCUCGUAGUUCCUGGGGAAACCGCCUCUCGAAUUGGGCCACCCUGUGGAUCACGGAUCAUUCUAUCUCACUCUGUUCCAUCGACAACCUCUUUAAUCAUCGGGGAUGAAUAAAUUAUGGAAAUUGUGUAUACAUGAGAUAACACGUCAACCGUUAUCUAUACUGAUACGUAACCGGAUGGUCUGACCUGGUUGGUGGCUGGCAACAAAAUGGAAAUGAGGUCAAGGAAAAAGUUAAUUAACAGAAACUUGAAUUCCUGGAUGCUGGGAGAAGAAUGGAGCCGCAUAGGCUAUUAUGUAUCUGACUAGGUGCAUUUAUACAGUCACAGGCAGUAUGGAUAUUGGAGUAGCAGACGAAAGGGUUGAAGGGGCAGCAAAUGUUACAUGGAGAAGACCAAUUUCAUCAACGGCAAGAUGUGUAGAAUAACAGCGAGAAUCCACCCCAGGAAAAAUUAUUAUUAGAAAGAAGAUACGACCCCGUCCUCUCACGGUUACCUUGCUGCUCGCCACGAUGGAAUAAAACCACAGGAUGCAUCAUUUUUCAACGAAUUUUUCGACUGGCUGUACGUGUCCGCGAGGAGACACGCUGCGCGACAAAGAAAAUAAGAGAAGGAAAUUUUAUCCGAAAAUAAAGAGACAAAAAGGAGAGGAACCCUUUGGUGGUACAUUAAUCGAGGCAAAUCUCAUCGACGUCAUGCCACGUUGGAUGAAAAUGCAAUCGGCAGCUUGGCGGAGAAGGAAAAAUGAAACGCAUGAUAAUAAAGAAAAAAAAAAAGAAGAAAAAAGAUCGAAAAAGUGGAGUAGACGGCAAAAAUAGUGCAAAGAAAUUUUUCACCUCUCUACGCUCGUUUUGCGCGAACCACACAUAAAUAUGCAUGACGCGAACGUGGGUGUCCGUUUGCGAGCUUCAUGAAUUUCUCUCUGUGUUAUUACUUUUAAUAUAAAACUCGUAAAAGGAGAAAUAGAGCAAAAACAAACGAGCGAUAAACGAUGCAUGGCUACGUAGCAAAAGCAUGUGUGUAUUACACGUAUGCACGUAUGCAUAAAGUUGGGUAUACGAAGGGAAUGAUGAUUCAAGCAAAUAUAACGCUAAUUUACUGUAUGCUCGAAACGGUAGAAGGAAAAAAAAAACAGUGGCCACUUUCUGCAAGGUGCGAAAACAGAUUUCACUAGAAGAAGAAAAAAAAGAUACCAUCUAGGGAUUUUCUAGACGGUACCAAUUUUCCAUCUAUCUCCGAACGACAAUCGUUCCCGGUACCCAGAGGUAUCUCUCCAGGUCAGCGGUGCCUCCGUAUUCAUGCCAGGAAUUUAACUUCCGGUAAAAAGAACGACGUGAACCGGAAUUGACGAGCUUAGAACGAAUUCCGCGGUGUUCGAUGGAGCUUGGAAAAAUGCGUCAAAAUACAACACGAAAAAGUCUGGGAAAAAAUUAAUGUGGCAUCUAAUAAAAGAGCAAACCGGAAACUGGAUAAAAGUUUGGCGAUUCCAGAUGGCGAGAAUGAAACGGCGUGGGGAGGAAACUUUUUAGAAAAUAAGUUUAAAAAACUUCUAUACAAGGCAGAAAGAUUCGAACGAAAUUUGCACUAGAAUUUACAUAUAUGUAUAAGACUUUUAAAACUCCUUUUGUACUUUUUAACGCUUGCGAAAGGAAGUCUUAUUUCACUGGCACUGUUGCUAUAUGUAUAUACAACAUUUCCUGGCGGCAAAUACAAAUUCAACGCGGCAAAUGUCUGACGUAUAAUUCUUGUUAGGAUUAUAGGGGAAUAUCUUGUUAGCAGAUAAGUCUUGCGUAACCCUUGAAGUUAAAAGGUGUGAUACAAAGACGUUAUAUUAUUAUUAUAUAUAUAUAUAUAUAUGACUGUAUAUUAUAUACACGUGUUUUUAUACAAGGGUAGAGUGUACGAAGGUGGGAACCCCUGUCGCCCGACCGUACGGAAUUUCAUUAAUAGCCAUAAACAAAGCGCGAGACGAAUAGCCAAGUUAUCGCGAAUCGUAAGAAAUACAAAAAAAAAUACAUCCGAGCCAUUCGAAGAGCAAGAAUGGUGGGAAACAACAGCCGAGCUGAAAGUCGCGUAAACCCCUUUACCUCGAGAACAAGAGGAGCUCCGUUCGACGUAUUGUUCUCUGUAUCUAACGAGAGCCAACCUUUUGCCGUGCUAAAGGCUCCAUCCAUUAACAAAUAAAGGAAACUUCCUUCACUCACUCUCGCCUACUAUGCAAUAGCCAAAUAUAUAAAUACACGUAUACAACCCCCCAGAAGGUAGACACUGUAUGGUUUUAAAUACAAAGUCGCAAAAAGUACAUCUAACGAACACAAAAGAAAAAAAAUGGUUAUCAAAUCCCAAAAUUCUAUUAUGUUUUUCGAAAAAAAUGCAAACAAUUUUUUUUAUCACGAUUAUUCAUUACAAUAAUAAAAAAGACCCCCGAGGUAUUACGUGAGUCGUGAAUUAAAGGAUUUUUCCAAAAUAUUGUAAUGCCAAGUGAAAUGAAAAUCCAAGACAAAUUACAUGGUUCAUGGGAUAACCAAGGGGGGCUUAUAUUCGUGGGCGGUUGGGA